GACGAACGCUGGCGGCGGGCUUAACACAUGCAAGUCGAACGGAAAGGCCCUGCUUUUGUGGGGUGCUCGAGUGGCGAACGGGUGAGUAACACGUGAGUAACCUGCCCUUGACUUUGGGAUAACUUCAGGAAACUGGGGCUAAUACCGGAUAGGAGCUCCUGCUGCAUGGUGGGGGUUGGAAAGUUUCGGCGGGUGGGGUUGGACUCGCGGCUUAUCAGCUUGUUGGUGGGGUAGUGGCUUACCAAGGCUUUGGCGGGUAGCCGGCCUGAGAGGGUGACCGGCCACAUUGGGACUGAGAUACGGCCCAGACUCCUACGGGAGGCAGCAGUGGGGAAUAUUGCACAAUGGGCGGAAGCCUGAUGCAGCAACGCCGCGUGCGGGAUGACGGCCUUCGGGUUGUAAACCGCUUUCGCCUGUGACGAAGCGUGAGUGACGGUAAUGGGUAAAGAAGCGCCGGCUAACUACGUG
rnacentral:rRNA from 1 species